GAUGGGAAUUUAAACCUCUUCCAGAGUAUCAAUUGGAGGGCAAGUCUGGUGCCAGCAGCCGCGGUAAUUCCAGCUCCAAUAGCGUAUAUUAAAAUUGUUGCAGUUAAAAAGCUCGUAGUUGAAUUUCUGCUGCAUUGCUUUUGCUCCUUUACGAGUCUUUGCAUUGUGGCUUAUUUCGGACUUUGUUUUACAAUGUCCGGAUGUUUACUUUGAGAAAAUUAGAGUGCUCAAAGCAGGCUUUCGCCUUGAAUAGUUUAGCAUGGAAUAAUAAAGUAGGACUUUGGUUCUAUUUUGUUGGUUUUAGGUACCAAAGUAAUGGUUAAUAGGAACAGUUGGGGGC
rnacentral:rRNA from 1 species